AGACCGAUAGCGAACAAGUAGAGUGAUCGAAAGAUGAAAAGCACCUUGAAAAGAGGGUUAAACAGUACGUGAAAUUGUUGAAAGGGAAGCGCUUGUGACCAGACUUGGGCGCGGCGAAUCAUCCGGGGUUCUCUCCGGUGCACUUCGCCGUGUUCAGGCCAGCAUCAGUUCGGCGCGGGGGAAAAAGGCUUCGGGAACGUGGCUGCUCCGGCAGUGUUAUAGCCCGUUGCAUAAUACCCUGCGCUGGACUGAGGACCGCGCAUCUGCAAGGAUGCUGGCGUAAUGGUCACCAGCNACCCGUCUUGAAACACGGACCAAG
rnacentral:rRNA from 1 species